ACAACCACACAACAAACCCUCAGCCACGCUCAGGAACAGCAGAGAAGCUCCCAGAUGGAGCAGAGGACUCCAAAAGUCUCCACCCCACUGCCAGGAGCCUGUUGGGAGGCCAGGGCAAGGACAGUUAGCAGAGGAAGGAUGUGGGAGUAGAGAUGUAAUGACAAGAUUUAUUUUCCCUGAAAUUAAGCCAUAUUUAGCAGGGGGGUGGAAAAGAAUAAAAAAGAAGAAAUAAAACCAGGAAAGAAGGCAGUGCAAGUCCUGCAAGAGAGCAGGAGAGCACUAAGCAGAGCCUGGGGGAUUCACACCAAAGAGGUGAUACCUGCACAGAGAAGGAGGCUGAGAGUGCAAAAGGCUUUGCAAAGCCUUGGGAAGGCCUUAUCCCAGCACCUGGCAGCAGGGCCCAGGGGUGUGGUGUCUCUCUCCAGAGAGAUCAGGCCCCCAGCCUGCCCACAGCCAUCUGCCCAGACAGGAGAUAAAAAACAACCCCAAGGUUGAAAGGAAAAAUGCCUUUGGGAGCUGGGAAUACAAGGCCUGGAGGAGAUGGACAGGCUGUGAGUCACGAUGGAGAUGCUCCCACCCUCACACCAAAGAUCUCUCUGGCUGCAGCCUGAUUUUUAUCAGACAUUUAUAUCCCAAGAGCUGAGCACAGAGCAAGGCCCAGAGAGCAGGAAAUCAGGAGGAGGAAGCAAAAAACUGAAAACCAAAUGACUCCUUCCAGCUAAAUCCCUGGAAGCAACGCUGGAGGUGAGAGGUUUGGGAUGGAGCUGAUGGGAUGCAGGGUGAGGGAGCAACUCUCUGAGCAAGGAGGGGACAUCUCAGGUCAGGAAUAGCACCAUGAGGGCUCCUUGGGACACAGAAAGAGCUUCUCCACCCCCAUAAGUGCCUGCUCCAGCUGAAUAAUUCCACAGCCUUCCCCUUGGAUUGGUAAGAAGCAAGUGCAGCUCCUCAGCCCUGGGAGAACAGGGAGAUCUUAUUGUAAAGUUUCUUCUGGUUUAGGGUGGGGCUUUUCCAUCCUGGUAACAGGACCAUCCUCUUCUCCCUGGGGGCUGGGGAGCCUCCAUCCUGCAGUGCCAGGGCUCUGCACACCUGGCCCAGGUAAGGGCUGCAUCUCCCAGCUGCUUCCAAACCAGUGCUGCUGCUUUCAAACAGAGGCCUGAGUUGGUGCAAGAAGCUAAUUAAUGUAAUAAACUAGUCUAGAGCUCAGAUGUGAUCUGAGGCUCCUGAUUUGCUUUUGGAAGCUCAAAAUUUAUCUCCUUCCUUUGACCUUCAGAGGCACCAACUCCCCCUCUUUUUUUUUCCACAAGAAUAAAUCAGGUGAGGGAUGUCUGGGCUGCCCCAAGAUGAACCCACAUGUACCUGUCCUGUCCUUUUCCCCUUCCCAGCUCAGAACCAGACUCCCAAGGAUGCAUUUAGGGUCUGGAUUGGGCAGCACCUGAUAUCUUGUGCUGCCAGUUCCUUCCCAAACCCAGCCAAGAGCAGCAGGUUGUGACAAUGAGUUCGCAUGGGGAGGGUUCCUGCGCUCCAAAUAGCAUCUGAUUUAUGGGACUAAUAAAUGAUCUGUGUAUUUUCCAAGAUGGCAAAGCAACCAGAGCACGUUAAAGGCAAAGAGACAGCUGCAUUUUAUUGUUUUGAUUUAAAUUAAGGGGUAGAGUUUAAAGAUGGAGUUCGAUUUUGCCACUGCGGCAUGACUGCAAGAAUCCACACACCAGUCCUUUGGAAAGGAAAGCUUCCUCUGUCAUUUUUCCUGGCUUGGCAAGCACCUAAUUACCAGCCCAUUUUAAAACAUCACCCCAAAACUAUCAUUAUUAGAGAGUUUAUUAAAAAUCAUUAUUACUCUGUAGAGACAGAGAAGGGAACGCAGAAAUCCAACUCCACUGUGAUGGAUUUGUGACACUAAGAAUUAUGAAAUCAAAUCUCCCUGACAUUUGGUGCCACAACCUAAAGGGACAAGUGACAACACUUGCCCCAAACAGCUCAAGGCCAGCAGAAAAAUGAGAUUAUGACACCUCCAGCCUUUACCCCAAGACAAACCAGUCCAUUUCUCCUCAACCUGGGCACUUCCACCUAAAACUUCGAGGAAGAAAUAUUGGACAGAGGCUUCCUCAGGAGAAAAAGCCAGAGCUAUUUAAACCAGAGCAGAGGAGAGGCAUCUCCAGGCAUUUCAAGUGGAACAAGCUGGGGCCAUUCCCAGCCAAAGACUGGGCUGCUGCAGAAGCCAGACCUCAGGGAGAGACAAGAUGAAGCACUUUGGAAACAAACCAAGUCUACUGAUAAUUAAAUUGUUUGUAAUAUCUCACAAGUUUUACUCCUUUUCCUCAUUCCACUGUCUUCACAUGCAGUAAUUUCAGGGAGAGCAGCCAGGAAGGCCCAUUGCUGCCCUCAAACAGUACCUGAAGGCCUCCAAUUCCAGCUGCUGAAAUGCACCACCCAGCAGGAUCUUUUCCAAGGGCCAGUCACUGCUGCCUUCUCAACAGCCCUUUAAGGUUUCCCAGUCCCACAGGGUAAGCAAAACACACUUCCAGUCACUCCAGACCAAGUACACCAGUACAAAAAAGAAAAAACUACAACUUCUUCCAUCCUUCUUUUUCUUCCUCACAUCGUUCUGGAGCAGGCUCAACAACAUCCCUAUGCCUUUGACCAUUCUUCCCUCAGCUAGAAUCCAAAUCUCAGCCCACAAACCAAACUUGCACCUUCCCUUCACUCCUUUCCACGUGUGAGACAUUUAUGCUGCAGAGGAAAAAUCCUGCUGGAGCUCCUCAGGCUUUGACAGAAGGGAAGACAGGGCCUUCAUCACCAAGAGCAACCUGGCUUGGAGAUCAAAUCCAAGCACAUCUGGCACAUCUGGCACAUCUGGCAGUGCCCAGCUCUGGCUGUGCUUAGGCACAGAUCCCCACCUGCCCCACAGUGCCCUGCACCAAAUCUUCCCCUGCUCCUUGCCUGGGGAACAGCCCAGCAGGACAAUUCCAGCUGUGCCCUCCAAGCCCUCCCCUUCCUCUGCCCCACUCCUCCCUCAGCAAACCCUGGGCUGGAGGAGGUUUCUCUACAGGAGGGAUUUUUCCACUGCAGAUUUCCAGGUGGGGCAGACCAAAGCCCAGAACAAAUGGUUUGUACAGAGGGCUGGAAGU